GACGAACGCUGGCGGCGUGCCUAAUACAUGCAAGUCGAGCGCAGGAAACUGACGGAACUCUUCGGAGGGAAGGCAGUGGAAUGAGCGGCGGACGGGUGAGUAACACGUAAGGAACCUGCCUCAAGGAUUGGGAUAACUCCGAGAAAUCGGAGCUAAUACCGGAUAGUUCAACGGACCGCAUGGUCCGCUGAUGAAAGGCCCUUCGGCGUCACCUUGAGAUGGCCUUGCGGUGCAUUAGCUAGUUGGUGGGGUAACGGCCCAACAAGGGGACGAUGCAUAGCCGACCUGAGAGGGUGAUCGGCCACACUGGGACUGAGACACGGCCCAGACUCCUACGGGAGGCAGCAGUAGGGAAUCUUCCACAAUGGACGAAAGUCUGAUGGAGCAACGCCGCGUGAGUGAUGAAGGUUUUCGGAUCGUAAAACUCUGUUGUAAGGGAAGAACACGUACGAGAGGAAAUGCUCGUACCUUGACGGUACCUUACGAGAAAGCCACGGCUAACUACGUGCCAGCCGCCGCAGUAAUAC
rnacentral:rRNA from 1 species